CGGGCUGUAGCGCAGUUGGUAGCGCGCGUCGUUCGGGACGACGAGGUCGUGAGUUCGAGUCUCAUCAGCCCGA
rnacentral:tRNA from 1 species